rnacentral:rRNA from 1 species
UUGACCUCGGAUCAGGUAGGGAUACCCGCUGAACUUAAGCAUAUCAAUAAGCGGAGGAAAAGAAACCAACAGGGAUUGCCUCAGUAACGGCGAGUGAAGCGGCAAAAGCUCAAAUUUUAAAGCUGGCAUCUUCGGUGCCCGCGUUGUAAUUUUGUGAGGCAUCUCCGGGUAGGGCGCCGGCCUAAGUUCCUUGGAACAGGACGUCACAGAGGGUGAGAAUCCCGUGCUUGGCUGGCUGUCCCCGCCCACGUGAGGUGUCUUCGACGAGUCGAGUUGUUUGGGAAUGCAGCUCAAAAUGGGUGGUAAAUUUCAUCUAAAGCUAAAUAUUGGUGGGAGACCGAUAGCGCACAAGUAGAGUGAUCGAAAGAUGAAAAGCACUUUGAAAAUAGAGUUAAAAAGUACGUGAAAUUGUUGAAAGGGAAGCGCUUGAGACCAGACUUCGGUAGGGGGUGAUCAGCCGUCCUUCUGGGCGGUGCACUUGCCCCCCUCCGGGCCAGCAUCGGUUGAGGCGGCGGGAUAAAGGUCCCGGGAAUGUGGCUCCCCCACGGGAGUGUUAUAGCCCGGGUGAAUGCCGCCAGCCUCGACCGAGGACCGCGCCCGC